CCUACGGGAGGCAGCAGUGAGGAAUAUUGGCAAUGGGCGCAAGCCUGAUCCAGCCAUGCCGCGUGCAGGAAGACUGCCCUAUGGGUUGUAAACUGCUUUUAUACAGGAAGAAACACUCCCUCGUGAGGGAGCUUGACGCUGUAAGAAUAAGGAUCGGCUAACUCCGUGCCAGCAGCCGCGGUAAU
rnacentral:rRNA from 1 species